CUGGCUGGCCCCGGGAGCCUUUGCCGCGCGCCUGGGAAGGCCCCGCCCCCGAUAAGACCAAGUCCCGGAACCGAGCAUGGCCACGCCCCGCCGCCGGCCGAGCUCCGGAAGGCCCCGCCCCCGCGCAGACCACGCCCUUCCCCUGACCCUACCCCACUCCCAGCUCUGCACCCUCACCGAAGGACUUUGGACAGGCCCGCUGGCGACAGUUUCAUCCACCUCGGCCCGAAUUCAUCCCACUGGGAUGGCCCCCAGUCCCUGCGCUGAGGUUGCCAUGUCAGAGUCCAGCGGGCGGGCAGCACUGAGCCCGGGGGUCGGUCUGAGCUCACAAGCUCUGCAGCAAACCUUCGCCAAGAAAGGAGACUCUUUCCUUCCUCUCUGUGCAGUUGUGACACAGGAGAAAUUACAGCCUCUUUUGAGCCAUGGUAACUCAGUCGGGGCUCCAGCGUGUGGCCCUUCGUCCUUCCGCCAAGGGUGGGGACCAGCACGGCGGCUGUGAGGCUGGCAGCUGGUGGGCCGCGUGUCCCCCCUCCUGUGUGGGACAGCUGGCUGUGCCGGUGACCCUCCCAGGAGCCCGGCUGACUAGGAGCCGCUCAUCAGCUGUGCUGGAAACUUGAAAUCCAAAAACUUCAGAAAACCACUCUUCUGUGGCCCUGAGGAUAGUCAUUCAGUACGUCUACCUUCAACUUACUCAUUUCAUUAUACAAGGCAUUUUUGUUGAGCACCUGCAUAUGCCAGCCACUGUAUCAACUAGGAUCCUGCAUGCUGCAUGAGGCAGCCAAAAUAUUUUUUUUCCCUUAAUUAAAUGUAUGCAAGAGGGUAAAAAAAAAAAGAAGAGGGUGACUGACAUUGAAGUUCCUUGGAUCAAGAGGAGGAGAGUAGAUUUAGGGAUAAAUAAGAUUGUUUUCUUUUCUGGCUGCAGUGCAUGGCAUGUAGGGAUCUUACAAAGUUUACUGACCAGGGGGUCACACCUGUGCCCUCUGCAUUGGAAACUCGGUGUCUUAACUACUGGACUAUCAGAGAAGUCCUGGGAUUUCUUUCUUAGGUAUAUUUUCAAGAAAACCACCUAAAGAAUAUAGAAUUAGUGUAACUCACAAACCCACUAAUGGGAAAACUUGUGAAAGUUAAGUGUUGUUAGUUGCACAGGUGUGUUUCCUCUGCGGCCCCGUGGACUGUAGCCCAUCAGGCUCCUUUGUCCAUGGGAUUCCCCAGGCAAGAAUACCAGAGUGGGUAGCCAUUUCCUUCUCCAGGGGAUCUUUCUGACCCAGGGAUCAAACCUGGGUCUCCUGCAUUACAGGCAGAUUCUUUACUGUCUGAGCCACCAGUGAAGCAAGGGGAAGAAAAGAAACAAGCUGAACAGGCUGGUAGUCACCCCAGGCUGGGGGAGGCAGAAGUUUUUGGGAUGAGGCAUUCAUAAAUACCCAGGUGUACAUUACUUACCAGUGUUCUAGCUCACACACUGGGAGAUGUAGCUAACAGUAUAGCCUCAAAAUACAGAAAGCAAAAAUUAACAGAAUUACAAGGGAAAAUGGGCAAAUCUGCCAGUAAGACAUUUAUGUAUCUUGCCCAGUAAUUAACAGAUCAGACAAAAGUUACACAGACAUAAAAGAUCUGUACAAAAAUGUCACAGUCUUGGGACUUCCCUGGUGGUCCAGCGAUUAAAGAAUCCACCUUCCAAAGCAGGUUUGAUCCCUGUCUGGGGAACUAGGGCCCCACAGGCCACAGGACAACUAGGCCUGCACGCCGUGAACUGAGCCCGGGAGCCACAGCUGGGCAGCCUGUGUGCUGCAGCGAAGAUCCCGCAACCACGGUGAAGACCUGACGUGCCACAACCAAGACGUGAGGCACAGGAGUUCAGUCAAAACUUAAGUCACCAUCUCUACCUAGUCAACACACCCCUAACUUUGCACCUAACCAUUAGAGAAAACACACAAAAUUCACCACAGACAGGCCAUGAAAAGCUCCUAACAAGUAAAAGACUCAAGGGUACACGGAACAUUCCUGUAACCACAGUGCGCUCGAGUUAAAGCCGACUCUGGGACCCAGCUCUCCGCGGCUCACACGCGCAUCUGCACAGCUGCACAACGAGGUCACACAGAAAGAGGCGGCAGGUGAAUCUGGCCCACGAGCCUUGGUGGGGCCUUUUGCUCUAAGACCACCGGCGGCUAGAGGCACCAUGCGCUACCACCACGCACCACAGGGGGGCGCAGUGGCCGCGCCAGCCUGAGGAGCCGGCCCAUGUGCGGAAACAGAUGGGCUUCAGUCCUGUACCCACGUGUUCCAGCCUGACUCAGAAAUUCACUAUUUCAUGCCAAUGUCACACACAGUGGAAGAUACUAAGGAAAAAUGAGAGAAGCAGAUGGGAUCUUUCUGAUGGGCGUUUCAACCGAAACUGAGGAACUGACUCCAUUAUUCCAGAAAAACACCUAGAGUAAAAUUCCUUCCUGUUUCCACGUUUAUCUUGUGGACACACGAGAGACGGAACCACUGACCGCUGGGCAAGCUCCAGCAGAAAAUUCAUCCGUACCCAAGGAUCGCUUCAGAGAUGCUGAGUGACCAGUAAAACGGGAAAACAUGCCAGCAUCACACACACAUACCUCAGCGACUCUGAAUUCACAAGAAAGGACUUGCUUUCCAAACUGAUGCUCCAUUUAAGAGGAGUUUUGGGAACCUUAAGAACAUAAAGCAUCUUCUCUGCCUGCCCUCAGCUUUGAACUGUUCUUGUGAUGAAGCCUCCUUACAUUUACGCCUGGAAGUUAAACCAGCUACAGACUGAUAGACAAACCCUGGAUACUCACACGUGGCUAAAAAGUACAGCAUUGUCAGCCACCAGAAGAACACAAGUCAGAACCACAGUGAGACACACGUCACAGGUACCAGCCUGGCUGUAGAGGAAAAUGUUGGCAAGAGUGUAGAAAACUGCAACUGGUGGAAAUGUCAUGGUGCAGCGACUGUGGGAAAAUCUGGCGCUUCCUCAGAAGUUGAACACAGAAUCACCACACCCACAGCAAUUCCACUCCUAGGAAUACACCCUGAAGAACCAAGAGCAGGGACUCAGAUAGCUGUAUGCCCAUGUCCACACCAGCAUCAUUCAAACAUCCGUCAACGGAUGAAUGGAGAAAUAAAAUGCCGUCUCAGCCUACAAUGCAGUAUUAUCACUCAACCGUCAAAAAGUAUGAAUUAACCUAAAUGAAGAGCAACACAGAAAGACAAACACCACAGGUUCCGCUUACACGAGAUCCCCAAAAGAGGCAAACUCGGAGAUGCAGAGCAGACCUGUGUUACCAGAAGCUGGGGAGCGGGGUGGGAUGGGAGGUGGUUACCAUCCACCAGUUUCUGCUCCUGCUGCUGCAGAAGUUCUGGGAUACUAAAGGUGGUUGAUACACUGUAUUUAUUUUCCACCAAAUUGUAUACUUACAAAUGGUUAAAAGAAACAUUACUUCCUGGGUAUUUUACCACACAAACAAAGCUCAAACCAGCAGGAGUAAAUUAAAUGCUUGCUACAUGUGUAGCACUGAGCUCACCACACCCAGGCGGCCUUCACACCAGGCAGGCAAAGGGGAGAGAGCCACAGCCUGCCUUCGAGGACACUCGGUGUUUCCACCACCAGUAAAGCGGCCGAUUCUGAAAAGCCAAUCUGUUUUCUAGUCCCAACCAGACCCCAAAGGACACCCCUUACAAAGAUCAGGUUCAAGGACUUGCAACACAUUAAAAACAACCUGGAUUUUAUACACUUUCCAGCACGCAAUAAACACCAGACUUCUCCAGUGCUACUACUUGCUCCGUGAGCCUCUGACACAGAGCUGGGUUUACUGGAAGGAAGCUUUGCUGAUUAUUAAGAGUCGAGACCCAGCAGCCUUGACGGUGAGGAGUUCGCGUCUUGCCGCUGACACCCGCGAGCCAGGACGCACUGUGCCUACAGGGGGAGGCCGGGCGGCGUUUGCAGUGCACCGACCCGGGCCACCGCAUCGCGUGGUCUUCAGGGGACUCUGCAUUGUCUGAAUUUGAGGAUGAAAAGCAGAACUCUACAACUCAUCCUAAAAGAGAGAGCAAUCUCCAGGCAUUUUUUAUUAUUUGACUAACAGAACAAAGCCAGGCUGAAAAGCCCCCGAGGAAAGUCACGCUUCCUGGCUGCUUGCCGUGUGGUCCUCCAUCUUCUAAGCACUCACUGUAUUUCCUUCUAACGAUUUUAGACAUUUAUUUUGAUCACAAAUGCAAUCCAAGUGUGAAUAAAUAAAUGUAUUAUCUUUUAAGAUUCCCACCCCACCCCACCCCCCGCCCCAACCAUG